GGGCCCGCACAAGCGGCGGAGCAUGCGGAUUAAUUCGAUGCAACGCGAAGAACCUUACCAAGGCUUGACAUAUAGAGGAAAAGUGCAGAAAUGUACUCCCCGCAAGGUCUCUAUACAGGUGGUGCAUGGUUGUCGUCAGCUCGUGUCGUGAGAUGUUGGGUUAAGUCCCGCAACGAGCGCAACCCUCGUCCUAUGUUGCCAGCACGUAAUGGUGGGAACUCAUGGGAUACUGCCGGGGUCAACUCGGAGGAAGGUGGGGAUGACGUCAAAUCAUCAUGCCCCUUAUGUCUUGGGCUUCACGCAUGCUACAAUGGCCGGUACAGAGGGCUGGUGAUUGGGAUGAAGUCGUAACA
rnacentral:rRNA from 1 species